rnacentral:lncRNA from 1 species
UGGAAUUUUGAGGUGGUUGGAUUUGGUUAGUGGGGUAGUGGGGAGUUAAAGAGAUUUUAGGGAUAUACUUCUUUUUCCAAAAUUUUUCUCUUCCCCAAAUUCACGUUUAUUUUUCCCAUCUUCCAUAUUGUUUUUUUUCUUUCUUCUUUUUUUUUCUCUCCUUUUCCUUUGGUCAAACGGCAGCGUGGUGAGUUCUUCGAUUUUGCUUAAUCAUUCGGGUCCUUGUAAUUAUCUAUUCUGCAGUCGGAGUAUUUCGUAAGUAGUUUUUUACCCUUUUCGUUGCAUGGCAGGGAUUUUCUAUUAGGGGAGUUAAUUUGCAAUUUUCAUGAAUAUUGAGUUUGAAUGCUUGGAUUUGAUUGAUUGUUUAGGAGAGGGGCUGGAAACGUUUGAUUCUUCGACGAAUUAGAU